GCGCCGGGGCCCCCUAGUGGCCGGGGCCCGGGGCAGCAGCCCCUUUGCCCAAUGCACAAACGCGGCCCUGAUCAGAGAAUAGUUAUUAUACUGCAAUAA